AUACAAUGAAGAGUUUGAUCCUGGCUCAGGAUGAACGCUAGCUACAGGCUUAACACAUGCAAGUCGAGGGGCAGCAUGAUCGAAGCUUGCUUUGAUUGAUGGCGACCGGCGCACGGGUGAGUAACGCGUAUCCAACCUUCCCCAUAGUAGAGAAUAGCCCGGCGAAAGUCGGAUUAAUGCUCUAUGUUGUAUCAUGAGGACAUCUGAAUAAUACCAAAGGUUUACCGCUAUGGGAUGGGGAUGCGUCUGAUUAGGUUGUUGGCGGGGUAACGGCCCACCAAGCCCACGAUCAGUAGGGGUUCUGAGAGGAAGGUCCCCCACAUUGGAACUGAGACACGGUCCAAACUCCUACGGGAGGCAGCAGUGAGGAAUAUUGGUCAAUGGACGGAAGUCUGAACCAGCCAAGUAGCGUGCAGGAUGACGGCCCUAUGGG
rnacentral:rRNA from 1 species